rnacentral:rRNA from 1 species
AAUGGGCGGGAGCCUGAACCAGCCAAGCCGCGUGAGGGAAGAAGGUACAGCGUAUCGUAACCCUCCCCCCUCAGGGAACAAAGGCAGGGACUAGUCCCCGGAUGAGGGUACCUGAAGAAAAAGCAUCGGCUAACUCCGUGCCAGCAGCCGCGGUAAUACGGAGGAUGCGAGCGUUAUCCGGAUUUAUUGGGUUUAAAGGGUGCGCAGGCGGCCUGUUAAGUCAGCGGUAAAAGCCCGGGGCUCAACCCCGGCGAGCCGUUGAAACUGGCGGGCUGGAGUUGGAGAGAAGUACGCGGAAUGCGCGGUGUAGCGGUGAAAUGCUUAGAUAUCGCGCAGAACCCCGAUUGCGAAGGCAGCGUACCGGCUCCACACUGACGCUGAGGCACGAAAGCGUGGGUAUCGAACAGGAUUAGAUACCCUGGUAGUCCACGCAGUAAACGAUGAAUGCUUGCUGUCCGGGCAGAGAUAUGCCUGGGGGGCGAAGCGAAAGCGAUAAGCAUUCCACCUGGGGAGUACGCCGGCAACGGUGAAACUCAAAGGAAUUGACGGGGGCCCGCACAAGCGGAGGAACAUGUGGUUUAAUUCGAUGAUACGCGAGGAACCUUACCCGGGCUCAAACGGGAGACGGCAGGGGCAGAGACGCCCCUUUCCCUCGGGACGUCUUCCGAGGUGCUGCAUGGUUGUCGUCAGCUCGUGCCGUGAGGUGUCGGCUUAAGUGCCAUAACGAGCGCAACCCCCGCGUGCAGUUGCCAGCAGGAAAGGCUGGGGACUCUGCACGGACUGCCGGCGCAAGCCGCGAGGAAGGCGGGGAUGACGUCAAAUCAGCACGGCCCUUACGUCCGGGGCGACACACGUGUUACAAUGGGGGGUACAGCGGGAAGCCAGGCGGCGACGCCGAGCGGAACCCGAAAGCCCCUCUCAGUUCGGAUCGGAGUCUGCAACCCGACUCCGUGAAGCUGGAUUCGCUAGUAAUCGCGCAUCAGCCAUGGCGCGGUGAAUACGUUCCCGGGCCUUGCACACACCGCCCGUCAAG